GAUUUGUCUGGUUAAUUCCGAUAACGAACGAGACUCUAGCCUAUUAAAUAGAUGAUAUAUCGUCUUCGUAUAUCAAGCUUCUUAAAGGGACGAGCAGCUUCUAGCUGCACGAGAUUGAGCAAUAACAGGUCUGUGAUGCCCUUAGAUGUCCGGGGCUGCACGCGCGCUACAAUGAAAAUAGCAGCGCGUGUCGAAAACCUUUUCUGGAAAGAAUUGGUAAACGCUAAAUAUUUUCGUGAUAGGGAUAGGGGAUUGAAAUUAUUGCCCUUGAACGAGGAAUUCCCAGUAAGUUCGAGUCAUCAGCUCGAGUUGAUUACGUCCCUGCCCUUUGUA
rnacentral:rRNA from 1 species